rnacentral:lncRNA from 1 species
UCCCUAAUAUUAAUCAUCCAUUUUGGUGGAUUUAGGUUUUCACCUUAUCGACACCCAAGUUCCAUUGAUAUUAACGGUAUAUGAACCGGCUCGAACAUCCUUAAUAUCAACCAUCCGUUUUGGGGGAUUUAGGUUUUAUACCUGAUCAACGCCCAGGUUCCAUUGAUAUUAAGGUUGUCUGAACGACUCAACCAUGAAUCACGGGUUUGUUGAGAGUCACGAGCAUGGAGUCUCGGUUAAGAACCACCCAAAGGGAGUGUACUAGGGUUUAAACCUGCCAGACAUGUUCUACCAGAGGUUCCCAUAAUCAUCGUUCCAUCUUUCGAAUAUUAUCGGAGGAACGAAUACUCGUAUUCC